rnacentral:rRNA from 1 species
CCCUUAGAUGUUCUGGGCCGCACGCGCGCUACACUGAUGCAUUCAACAAGCCUAGCCUUGACCGAGAGGUCCGGGUAAUCUUUGAAUCUGCAUCGUGACGGGGAUAGAUUAUUGCAAUUAUUAAUCUUCAACGAGGAAUGCCUAGUAGGCGCAAGUCAUCAGCUUGCGUCGAUUACGUCCCUGCCCUUUGUACACACCGCCCGUCGCUCCUACCGAUUGGGUGUGCUGGUGAAAUGUUCGGAUCGGCCGUUUGUCGCGGUUUCCGCGGCUCGUGGCUGAGAAGUUCAUUAAACCCUCCCACCUAGAGGAAGGAGAAGUCGUAACA